rnacentral:lncRNA from 1 species
UGAUUUGAUAUUAAUUACUAAUACAGCAUUAAGAGGUGCUGCCACUCUAAGAGCAAGAUUACAUAAGGUGCAUGGACCUGCAAUUGCGCUGAAUGACGAAAAUGUUCAAAUCAGCACAGAAUCAAAUACCUUAGCAGCAUUAGAUUUUGUUACAAGAGGGGAAGAAAUUCUUAAAUGCACAAGGAAAGGUAAUGAUACAGUGAAUGUACUUAUGCACUAACAGAGAGAUUGUAUUAAUUUUUAUGAUAAUAAAAUCAUGGUUUUUACAGGAGAUCUCCACUGGAAGCUAGUCUCAUUCAACAUAAAUUCAAAUUUACAGGUAAAAAUUUUGAACACUGCCAUAUUCUCAUAACAUUCACUUACGCUUCCUGUUGAUGUGGAAGGGAUAGUUGGUUUGGUUCCUUUCCUUAAACCCCCUGGCUUGUAGAUGAUUUGGAUUAAUGCACACCUGCAGGACCAUAAAUGAAUCAAGAGGUAGCAUUGGGUCCUGUGUCUAAUGUCUAUACUUAGGUGUCAAUGCCAUUGUAUGAUACAUUGUUUAUAUUGUUGUGUAAAUAUUGCAAUAUACUGAGCAACAAAAAUGUAUGAAGACUAGUUGAGUUUUCAUUAAUAUUUCUGUCUGAGUUGGUGUUUCUUGGAAAGUUCAAGACUAGGUUACUCUAAGUCUUGGAGAGUUAAUUAUAUUAUCUCUGUUCUGAACCAUAUGGACUUUACCAAAAAUUACCUGCCCAGAAUAAAUAUAAAUACCUUCAUUUUUAGUUCCAUUUUUGUUCAUGAACUGGCUAUUGCUAUGAUUGAAUCAGACUGCUAUAAUGUUGUACAACCAGUGAACAAACCGUCUCUCUAUGCUAUGCAAUUGUAGUACUGCUACCCAAACUAGGUCAUUGACAGGUUUUAAAAAUAGGGGGACACAUGGUGCAGCAUCAUUGGAUAGAUAAGGGGAAAAAAUUAUCCACGUUGGCUGUACCUGUUAAAGCCCGUUUUUAAUCCCCGUCUGAGUAGCAUUACUCGUGCAAUUGAAGGAGUCGUAUGCUUAGAAUUUCAGAUUUAUGUUGUUCUUUUCCUUCUUUAGUAUGCAACUUAAAAACUAGACUUGUCUCUCAAAAGCCGACUCAUUUUUCAAUCAACCGCGGAAUGCAUAAAGGAAUGCGCAUCGCUCAACCCAGUUUCAUGCUGGAGGCGUUUUUGGUGAUCUCGACCGGGGACAACUAGAUCGAAGGAUUGAAGGAGACAUAUGCUUAGAAUUUCAGAUUUAUUUAGGGGGAUGUCCUCAAUUGAGAUUGCAAUUAAUUUUAAAAGUCAUUCUAAAUUUAUGUAUCUUCAAUUGAGAUUUUAUUAAAUUUUAAUUAAAUUCAUUAAAGUUUAGGUGUACCCAAUUGAAAUUUUAAUGAAAUCUUUUAAAAUUUAAGUAUUCUCAGUAAUUAGUGGAUUUAUAAAGAUUUCAUUGAUAGAAAGAUUUUAAAAGAUUUGGAUGGAUUUCAAGUUAAAAAAUACAUAUAAGUAAAUUUUUAAAAAUUUCAUCAUAUUUAAUGAGAUUCUUAUUAAAUUUGUAAGAAUCUAUUUAAAUCCACCAAAUUCAUUAGAAUUUAUAAUUAUUUAAAAUUCAUCAAAAUCUUAGUUGAGAACACUCAUGUAGUUCAUUUCCUUCCUUAGUGUUCUCUUUCGUUGGGCGUGUAACUAACUGUGUUGUUCACACCAUCGCGAAGAACGCUCUCUUAUAUCCCCAUAACUUGGCCUGGUUUGAGGAGUCGUGGAACUUUAAAAUUUCAUCAUAUUUAAUGAGAUUCUUAUUAAAUUUGUAAGAAUCUAUUUAAAUCCACCAAAUUCAUUAGAAUUUAUAAUUAUUUAAAAUUCAUCAAAAUCUUAGUUGAGAACACUCAUGUAGUUCAUUUCCUUCCUUAAUGUUCUCUUUCGUUGGGCGUGUAACUAACUGUGUUGUUCACACCAUCGCGAAGAACGCUCUCUUAUAUCCCCAUAACUUGGCCUGGUUUGAGGAGUCGUGGAACUUGUAAUUCGUGAUAUUGCUGAAAGUUGGAGCUCUUGUCAUUCUUUAUUCUGAACUUGGCCUAUUUUAUUUAGAGGAAACGAGUCCAAUCAAGAUUGUAAUUCAGUGUUAUCUCUAACCAUUUAAAGAUUUAGACGAUACCGUCCCCAAGUAAAAAUCUAUAGUGUUUUAUACUGUGCUUGUGAAAUUACUGCCUACUCUAAUAAAAGGAUAUAUUCUUACGACAUUUUUAAUAAAGUUUGCUUUGAAUCAAGGAACUUUAGUCACUUUUACCAGGGCCUGUGAAACUGCAGAUUCUCCCCUAUACCACUUUUACAAAGAGGUGAGAUGAAAAGAUAACUGAAGCAAAGCACCUCUACAAGUUUCAUCAUUUCAAUCAGUAAAAAAGUUUAUUAAAGUAGACAAGUGCCCAUCCUAACCUACCCUAUAAGCCGAAAAUAGCAUUUGUCAUUAGUGCACAAUUGUUUUCUUAAAACAUGAUUACUUAAAGCAAUAUGAUUUAGGAGAGUCCCACUUUCUUGAUUGCCUAAAAGUUAGAAAACUACAAUAGAUCCUCAAUGUAGAUAAAAAAUAAUCACGCUUUCACUUCAUAUAGUUGCUUGACUUUGAGGGGUUGUUUUUGUUUUGAGUUGUGUUCAAAAGAGUGGUUGUAUACCGAUCAAUGUUAUCAUUUAUUCUAGUCGAAACCCUGUUCUCUAUGGAUCCUUUACCACAUAGUGCACGAUGAUUUUUAUUUUCUCGAUGUGAAUAUCUAUUCAAAGAGUGUAUUUCCCAUUAGCUAGAAUCAAAAUACAGGAGAAUAUGACCAACCUCCCAAUCCCACAAUGUACGGAUGAUAGCAAUGAAUCAAGAAAGUGCACAAUAUGCUCUGACCUUGAUUUUCCCUACUUUUUAGGAGGAGAUGACGAAUCAAAUUUUCAUACACGCACCCACACCCGUAUAGACCUCAGCUUCCUCUUCAGGUUGUAAUACUCGACAUUACCCUCAAUGAUGCAAGCUAGCUAAGAAGCAUGGACACGUACCAGAACACGUGUAGGAGUGUCACGACUACCUAUAUUCUACUUGAGAGAGAUUCUCAAGAGCAUGAUUUCCACUAGAGUCCGGCAACUUAAGACUUGCUAAAUAUACUUUUAAAGUAUAUUCUUGCUGACCGCUGAUUAUAGUUCAGGGAAACAUGUAAUGGAGGGCCCUAUUUUUUGACUUUAAACAGUGAUAAUGGGGAGAAAAAGGAUUCCUUAGUCAUAAUUAAGCCCGCCGCUCAAGAAAUUUAUAGCCUUUUAUGCACAUAUAAAGCGGAAAAAAAAGAAAAAAAGAAAGAAUGGAUAUGGAAAUUAAAGCAGACACUGAGAAAUUGGAAGACAUGAUUUAUCUCAACUUUAUUUGAGACCUUUCAGGUAUAAAGAAAACAAAAAUGUACUUCCACUCAGAAUCAUUCUUUUGAUUUUAUUCACUUAAUAAAUUAGCUUCUUAGUAUAUAAAGAUCAGAUUAUUUCUCCUUCCCUACAUCAUCUUCCUCUGAAGCUUGUUUUCAUCAAGUGGUAUAGACAAAACACAUCAAGAGUAAGUCUAGUGAUCAAAAUUUCAGCUUAAUUACAAUGAGUAAAAGUUGAUAAGCAAGAACCUACCAAGUUAUUUUUGUACUUUAUGACUGUUAACAGUGUUCAAAUGCUCCGGUGGCUCGGAAUUCAAGUCAAAUAGGCUGGAAAACAUUGAGGAAGACAAUGAUGCAAGUUGGCUGCCAGCAAUGUGCCCCCCUCCGGAAACUCCAACAGAGUCCAUGGAGUUCUUGGCUAGAUCAUGGAGUCUGUCUGCAAAGGAACUGUCGAAUGCUCUUUGCCAUGUCCAAGUCGUGAAGCCAUCUUCAUGCUCUCCGGGCGGUUCUGCUCGAGCUGACAAUGGAAGCUCUUUGCUCCCCCUGCAGGAACCUGUACGUAUUUCAAAUUUUAUCAUUCCAAUUUAGUACUCCUGUGAACAGUAAAAGCAUGCUUGAUACAUAGUAUUCAACAAUAUUAAGAGUACAAUAAACAAGAUUUUAGAAUACUAUUGUGUAAUGUCAAAUCUACCUCAAAGAACACAACAUAAAAGUAAACAAAACUAUAUAGAUUUCUCUUAUUAUUUGUUUACCCAGUUUUCCCAUUUUCUUGAAGAAUCAACCAUUACCAGCUUCGGAGAGUCCUCCAUUAUCUCCAAGAGGAAGCGAUGAGACAAAGGUAAUUCCUCCAAAGUCAUUCUUGUAAAUACAAUAAAUGCUUCGAGUAAAGCAUUCACUUACUCUUAUAACACCAGUCGAAAGUAGGGUAAGCACACUUUUUCAAUGGGUUAGGUUCUAGGAACAUUAAUAUCUCUAGACUAAUGCAAAAUAACACAAUCUAGACACUUUCUUCAUAUAGUUUCAUUCUAGAUGCAAAAUAGCAUUGACUUGAGCACCAAUUCAUACAUAUCUUAUGUCUGAAUGCAUCAUGUUCCGAGGAUUAUUUACGAUCAGUUCAAUCUAUACAGGAAUUGCUUCAACUGCAUCAAGCUUUCAACCAGGAGCUUCUUUCUAAUCAACAGUUGAUAAGAAAUGGGGUAAGAAAUUUUAAGCUCAACCAACAUAACAUCAUAUAAGAAGCCAUAAACAGAUUCAGGAUUCUCCUGAUCACUGUUAUUGUCUAACAGCUCUACUGGAGCAUUAUCAGGAGCAAGAAAGUAGGUAGAUGUUUAAAAGAUCAAAAAGAGCGGAAAAGGCAGGAGAAUAGAGCUCACAAUGCUCAAUUGCACGCAGCAAUAUCUGUGGCAGGGGUUGCAGCUGCAGUGGCUGCCCUUGCAGCCUCAUCAAUGACCUCUCCAGAAAAAGUAGCCGCCCAAACUAAGAAACCUACUGGAAUUGCAUCUGCAGCUGCACUUGUUGCAUCUCACUGCAUAGAAGUUGCAGAAGAUAUGGGAGCUGAUCAUGAACAAAUCCUAUCAGUCGUGAAUUCAGCAAUCAGUGCAAGGACUAAUGGCGAUAUAAUGACACUUACUGCUGGAGCUGCUACAGGUGUAAAUUUAAUUGCUGUCAUAGAUUCCAUGAUCUGAAUCUAAAAAAUCAAUCAAAGUUCACAAAUGGGAACAAAUUUAUUGGUUUUUCUGUAAGUGUAGUUAAGGUAGCUUAAUGAAAGACCAAGACAGAGUACAAAAGACCAAACUCACGUAACCUGACUGGAUAAUUUUUAAUGAGAUUACUAGUUAUUUGUGAUGAAUUGCUGCUCACAAGAAACUACCUCUCAUACAAAGGAAUCAAAAGCUAAUCUAUCAUACUAUAUUCUGAUUUGAUAUUAAUUACUAAUACAGCAUUAAGAGGUGCUGCCACUCUAAGAGCAAGAUUACAUAAGGUGCAUGGACCUGCAAUUGCGCUGAAUGACGAAAAUGUUCAAAUCAGCACAGAAUCAAAUACCUUAGCAGCAUUAGAUUUUGUUACAAGAGGGGAAGAAAUUCUUAAAUGCACAAGGAAAGGUAAUGAUACAGUGAAUGUACUUAUGCACUAACAGAGAG